GGGUAACCUAACCUAUGCAGGGGAAUAACCUCGGGAAACUGAGUAUAAUACCCCAUAGUCCACUACGCCUGGAACGGUGAGUGGAUCAAAGCUCAGGCGGCAUAGGAUGGGCCUGCGGCGUAUCAGGUCGUAGGGGGUGUAAAGUACCCUCUAGCCAUCUACGCGUACGGGUGUUGGGAGACAUAGCCCGGAGAUGGAUUCUGAGACACGAAUCCAGACUCUACGGGGUGCAGCAGGCGCGAAAACUUGACAAUGCGAGCAAUCGUGAUCAGGGAACUCCAAGUGGCUGGGGUAAGACCCAGUCUUUUCAUAACUCUUCAAAGGUUGUAGAAUAAGGGGUGGGUAAGGACGGUGCCAGCCGCCGCGGUAAUACCGGCGCCUCAAGUGGUAGUCGCUUUUAUUGGGCCUAAAACGUCCGUAGCCGGUUUGGUACAUUCGUGGGUAAAUCAACUCGCUCAACGAGUUGAAUUCUGCGAGGACGGCCAGACUUGGGACCGGGAGAGGUGUGGGGUACUCUCAGGGUAGGGGUAAAAUCCUGUCAUCCUGAGAGGACCACCUGUUGCGAAGGCGCCACACUAGAACGGAUCCGACGGUCAGGGACGAAGCCUAGGGGCACGAACCGGAUUAGAUACCCGGGUAGUCCUAGGUGUAAACGCUGUGGACUUGAUGUUGGAGAAGCUCCGAGCUUCUUCAGUGUCGAAGCGAAGGUGAUAAGUCCACUGCCUGGGAAGUACGGUCGCAAGGCUGAAACUU
rnacentral:rRNA from 1 species